UAGUCCACGCCGUAAACGAUGAGAACUAGAUGUUGGGAGGAAUAGCCUUUCGGUGUCGCAGCUAACGCAUUAAGUUCUCCGCCUGGGGAGUACGCCGGCAACGGUAAAACUCAAAGGAAUUGACGGGGACCCGCACAAGCGGUGGAGCAUGUGGUUUAAUUCGAUGCAACGCGAAGAACCUUACCUGCCCUUGACAUACAGAGAACUUUCCAGAGAUGGAUUGGUGCCUUCGGGAACUCUGAUACAGGUGCUGCAUGGCCGUCGUCAGCUCGUGUCGUGAGAUGUUGGGUUAAGUCCCGCAACGAGCGCAACCCUUGUCCUUAGUUGCCAUCAGGUAAUGCUGGGAACUCUAAUGGGACUGCCGGUGUUAAGCCGGAGGAAGGCGAGGAUGAUGUCAAGUCCUCAUGGCCCUUAUGACCAGGGCUACACACGUACUACAAUGGCAAAGACAAACCGACGCGAAGCCGCGAGGUGAAGCAAAUCGGAAAAACAUUAGUCUCAGUCCGGA
rnacentral:rRNA from 1 species